rnacentral:rRNA from 1 species
CUUUACUGUAGCCUGGAAUUGGGUUCGGGCUUUAACUGCGCAGGAUAGGUGGGAGGCUAUGAUUCAAUCCUUGUGGGGAUUGAGGAGCCAACGGUGAGAUACCACUCUGUUAAGGCUUGAAUUCUAACCUUCACCCGUAAUCCGGGGAGGGAACAGUUUCAGGUGGGCAGUUUGACUGGGGCGGUCGCCUCCUAAAUGGUAACGGAGGCGCGCAAAGGUUCUCUCAGGCUGGUUGGAAAUCAGCCGUAGAGUGUAAAAGCACAAGAGAGCUUGACUGUGAGACGAACAUGUCGAGCAGGGACGAAAGUCGGCUUUAGUGAUCCGACGGUAUGCGCGUGGAAGUGCCGUCGCUCAACGGAUAAAAGUUA